GCAUAUCAAUAAGCGGAGGAAAAGAAAAUAACAAUGAUUUCCCUAGUAACGGCGAGUGAAGAGGAAAGAGCUCAAAGUUGGAACCUGUUUGGCUUAGCUAAACCGGAUUGUAAACUGUAGAAACAUUUUCCAGAUACACUAGACAAAAAAGUCCUUUGGAACAGGGCAUCAUAGAGGGUGAGAAUCCCGUCUUUGGUCUAAGUAGUUGUCUAUUGUGAUAUGUUUUCAAAGAGUCAGGUUGUUUGGGAAUGCAGCCUAAAUUGGGUGGUAAAUCUCACCUAAAGCUAAAUAUUUGCGAGAGACCGAUAGCGAACAAGUACCGUGAGGGAAAGAUGAAAAGAACUUUGAAAAGAGAGUUAAACAGUAUGUGAAAUUGUUAAAAGGGAACCGUUUGGAGCCAGAUUGGCUUGAUUGUAAUCAACCUAGAAUUCGUUUUGGGUGCACUUGCAGUCUAUGCCUGCCAACGACAGUUUGAUUUGGAGGAAAAAAUUAAUAGGAAUGUGGCCUUUCGAGGUGUUAUAGCCUAUUAUCAUACUCUGGAUUGGACUGAGGAACGCAGCGAAUGCCUUUAGGCAAGAUUGCUGGGCGCUUUCGCUAAUAAAUGUUAGAAUUUCUGCUUCGGGUGGUGCUAAUGUUUAAAGGAGGAACCCGUUUAGUAUAUUUUUUAUUCGCUUAGGUUGUUGGCUUAAUGACUCUAAAUGACCCGUCUUGAAACACGGACC
rnacentral:rRNA from 1 species